UUGAAGUCAGGCCACUUGUGCCACGGCUUGAGCAAACCGUGCUGCCUGUAGCUCCGCCAAUAACGGGAGGCGUAAUAAUCCCCGGGGAGGCCAUGCGCCACGGAAGCUGUACGCGUGGCAUAUUGGACUAGCGGUUAGAGGAGACCCCUCCCAUCACCA
rnacentral:lncRNA from 1 species